AAAGGAUUUAAAAAAAAAAAAAAAAAUCUGUUCUUAUCAGUUUAAUAUCUGAUACGUCCCCUAUCUGGGGACCAUAUAUUAAAUGGAUUUUUGGAACAGGGAGAUGGAAGAAGAGCUUGCUCUGUCCACUCCACGCAUCGACCUGGUAUUGCAGUACCUCCAGGACCGGUGCACCUCUC
rnacentral:snRNA from 1 species